GAGCCUUGUAAGUUCUCUUUACACGUAUGUUUAUGUCUAUAUCUACUUGUCUAUCUGUGUAUCUAUCUUUGUAGAGAGAAAGACUUGGACAAGUUACUUGCAAGGAAGUUAUUGGACAGUUUUUUUUGUGAAAUAUUGUCUAUUUUCAUCUUUGAAAAUGUGAUAACUGAUAUUAUAUAUAUGAACUUUAAAAAAUUAAUAUAGGCAUUAAAAUGGUUUCACAUUCAUUAUUGGAAUUUCUUUAAUAAAUUGCCUGUUGAUGUAUUUUCCUAUUUUUUCUCUUGAGGCAUUCAUAAUUUUAUAGUUAAUUUUCAAACCUUCUUUGCUUACCAAGAAUAUUAAUACUUUUUCUGGAAAAUGCCUAGCAAAGACUUUUUGUCCAUUUAAAAAUGUUCCACUGUUUCCUGUUAUUUAUGACUUAAUGACAUUUCAGAACUUUAAUACACUAAUAUCCAUAAAUCUCUUCCUUUUUCCUUAGAAAAUAUUUUCACAACUCAAGACAAGUUAAAUAUCCACUUAUGGGAACAGUGCUGAAGGCCUGGACUAGGAUGGUAGCAAUGGAGACAGACUAAAGAAAGAGAUGCAAUCAUUCCCUUGCAUAUGGUCCGUAUGAAGACGGGAUCAUUACAGGAAAGGUGAAGGAGAUACAGUCAUUAUGCUCUAUAUACACCCAUUUUUAUGGCUAGCGGCUGAAGAUGGGAUGCUUUCUUUGCUGGAAGACCUAUUACCUGUUAGGUUGCAAAAGAUGUGAUCAUCUUCCUAAACAAUAAUUUAGAGUCCCAUAACAAUUUUAAGUGUGCUGUUCAUGAAAAUUUGAAUACAUUGUAUUGGGAAUAUAAUGGAAGUGAGAUGCCUCAUGUCGUGAGAAAAUCUGACAUAAACUCCUUAAGCAUGAGAGGCCAUGUGGGUAUGGAAGCCCUGAAAGGGAGGAAAAAACAGCCAGACCCUAGCUGUUCCAGUCAUCCCAACUGAGGUGCCAGACUUGUGAUUGAGGCCAUCUUGCAUCAUCUAGGCCUAGUAGAGCUGCCAACUGACUGCAGACACAUGAGUCAAUCCAGCUAAUGCCACAUGGAGCAGAGACAAGCCGCCCAGCUGAGCCCAGUCCAGAUGACAGAAUCAUGAGCAAAUAAGGUUGUUGUUCUUUUAAGCCACUAAAUUUUCGGGUGAUUUGUUACACAGUAAUAAAUAACUGAAAC
ensembl:lncRNA LINC01370 long intergenic non-protein coding RNA 1370